rnacentral:ncRNA from 1 species
GCAGAGUAGAAAUUAAAGCGUGAAGUGCUGUGCAGACGGGGAGUUGCUGUACAGACGAAGGAGUUUUUCUGCGGUUUUAAUUUCGCAUCCCGCUGC